CUGAUUUUGAUUUGGAAUGAGUGAUUAGGCCAAGUGCAAAAAGGUAAUAUUUACAGUUUUCGGAACAUCUCUUGACUUGUCAAUAGGGGUAUGGAUGUGUAUUGGCUAAAUUUGUAAAAGUGAUUGCGUCAAUCUUUCUGAAUUUUGAAUAUAUAUUUGGACUAGGACUAUACAUUACACACACAAAAAAUUGGACAAAAGUGCAUGGUGCAAUUUUUUUAAUGAUGCAAAAGGUUAUAAAGAAC
rnacentral:lncRNA from 1 species